UCACCUUGACCUCAUGAAUUGAUGAUGUAUGUCAAUAUAUUCAUCCUUGUGAGUAUAUGGUUACUUCACUCACCAUCUCUCCUAGCCUUGCUCUACCAUUGUCUAAAUCACCAUCACCACCAUCAUCUCUUGGGCACAUCUUUUAUCAGGUCAGAAUGUCACCACCAUCUACUUUAGCACCCUUGUGCAUUAGUAUCACUUUGCCUAAAAUUGUAUAUCUUUUUAGGCCACCAUUUUAGUAAUUUGUGAGGCACUCAACCUUGGGUGUCAUGCAUGUGUAGCAAUUAUCUCUUGUUGAUCACUUGUGCAUGGCCAAAAAUAUGUGGCCGGCCAUGCCAUGGCACACAUGCAUCAUGCCUCUCCAUUUCCCUCUCUCUCACAUAAUUACUCCACCUUGGGAUGCCUCUCCUCCUUUGUCCCUUCCCAAUGCCACAAAUAAAUUCAGCUUGGGUCAAAUAUCUCUUCCCCAAACCAGCCUCCCAACUAACCCAAUCAAUGAAGAGGCUACCUCCCAACCAACCCAAUCAAUGAGGAGGCAGCCCACCCCCUCUCCCUCUAUAUAAAGGGGCUUGGCAGCCCACCCCCUCCUCACUUGCUCUCACUUUUCCACUCCCCACUCUCUCCUCCACUCCCACACACUCUCCUCCUACCUCUCCCCACGAAAUUGCUGCUCCUCCUAGCUUCAUGGCCGGCCAUGGCCAUGGAAAGCUCACCAAGAUGCAGCUCCUUCCUCCCUCAAGCUCAUCCUCACCAUGAGAGCCUCCCCCUCCAUCUUCUCCCCAACCUUAGAUGGUUUAAUCUCCUCUUCUUCUCCCUCCUUUGCUAAGAUUGGAUCUUGAUGCAGGUGCAUGUUGGUCCAAGCAUGGAGAAGGUUGAGCUAUCCUCAGAUCUGAAGUUCUUGAGCAAAGUUCGUCCAAAACCUUGCAGUAAUUUCUGUUUCUUGCUGUUUCAGAUUCUGGUACGAUCUUGUAAAAUCCGCCAAAUCUCGUGUGCAGAUCCAAAUCGAGUGGUUCAAAGUUCUACAGAUAGAUCAAGAUCUGGUCAGAUCUGACUUUGUCGAAUUAAAUCAGGAGCUUUGAAACGAAUUUUUGAAUGAAACCAGUUGGGGGAUAUUUGGUUUAUACCAUGGUGAUAACCGGGAGAGGCAAUUGCUAAGUUGUGACGCACUCAUACCUCUACUAGAUGCGAACAAUUCCGGAGAAGAAGAAGAAGUGGUUCGGACAAGGAUUUUAUUUAUAUUGACGGGAUUCUUAUAUUGAUGAAGUUGAAGAAGUCCAGGGACAAAUAAGCCAAG